AACGAACGCUGGCGGCAUGCCUAACACAUGCAAGUCGAACGAGACCUUCCUGUCUAGUGGCGCACGUGUGCUUAACGCGUGGGAACCUGCCCUUAGGUUCGGAAUAACUCCCCGAAAGGUGUCCUAAUACCGGUUAAUGUCUUCCCACCAAAGAUUUAUCGCCGUUGGAUGGGCCCGCGUUGGAUUAGCUAGUUGGUAGGGUAAAAGCCUAGCAAGGCGACGAUCCAGAGCUGGUCGGAGAGGAUGAUCAGCCACACUUGGAAUGAGACACGGCCCAGACUCGUAGGGAGGGGAGCAGUGGGGAAUAUUGGACGAUGGGCGAAAGCCUAACCAAGCCAUGCCGCGUGAGUGAGGAAGGCCGUAGGGUUGUAAAGCCCUUUUACCCGAGAUGAUAAUGACAGUAACGGGAGAAGAAGCACCGGCUAACUACGUG
rnacentral:rRNA from 1 species